rnacentral:rRNA from 1 species
GGUUAAGUGACUAAGCGUACACGGUGGAUGCCUUGGCAGUCAGAGGCGAUGAAGGACGUAGUAACUUGCGAUAAGCUCAGAUUAGGCAGUAACAGCCACUUGAGUCUGAGAUUUCCGAAUGGGGAAACCCAACUGCAUAAGCAGUUACUGUUAACUGAAUACAUAGGUUAACAGGGCGAACCGGGGGAACUGAAACAUCUAAGUACCCCGAGGAGAAGAAAUCAACCGAGAUUCCGAUAGUAGCGGCGAGCGAAAUUGGAUUAGCCCUUAAGCUUUACAUGCGUCAGGUGAAGGUUCUGGAAAGGACCGCGAAACAGGGUGAUAGCCCCGUAGCCGACAGCGCAUGUUCAGUGAAAUCGAGUAGGGCGGGACACGUGUUAUCCUGUCUGAAUAUGGGGGGACCAUCCUCCAAGGCUAAAUACUCCUGACUGACCGAUAGUGAACCAGUACCGUGAGGGAAAGGCGAAAAGAACCCCUGUGAGGGGAGUGAAAUAGAACCUGAAACCGUGUACGUACAAGCAGUAGGAGCCUCUUCGUGGGGUGACUGCGUACCUUUUGUAUAAUGGGUCAGCGACUUAUAUUCAGUGGCAAGGUUAACCAUUUAGGGGAGCCGUAGGGAAACCGAGUCUUAACUGGGCGUUCAGUCUCUGGAUAUAGACCCGAAACCGGGUGAUCUAGCCAUGGGCAGGUUGAAGGUUGAGUAACAUCAACUGGAGGACCGAACCGACUAAUGUUGAAAAAUUAGCGGAUGACUUGUGGCUAGGGGUGAAAGGCCAAUCAAACUCGGAGAUAGCUGGUUCUCCCCGAAAGCUAUUUAGGUAGCGCCUCGGACGAAUACUACUGGGGGUAGAGCACUGUUAAGGCUAGGGGGUCAUCCCGACUUACCAACCCUUUGCAAACUCCGAAUACCAGUAAGUACUAUCCGGGAGACACACGGCGGGUGCUAACGUCCGUCGUGGAGAGGGAAACAACCCAGACCGCCAGCUAAGGUCCCAAAUUACAGCUAAGUGGGAAACGAUGUGGGAAGGCUCAGACAGCUAGGAUGUUGGCUUAGAAGCAGCCAUCAUUUAAAGAAAGCGUAAUAGCUCACUAGUCGAGUCGGCCUGCGCGGAAGAUGUAACGGGGCUAAGCUGUAAACCGAAGCUGCGGCAAUGCGAUUUAUCGUAUUGGGUAGGGGAGCGUUCUGUAAGCCGUUGAAGGUGUGUUGUAAAGCAUGCUGGAGGUAUCAGAAGUGCGAAUGCUGACAUGAGUAACGACAAGGGGGGUGAAAAACCUCCCCGCCGGAAGACCAAGGGUUCCUGUCCAACGUUAAUCGGGGCAGGGUAAGUCGACCCCUAAGGCGAGGCCGAAAGGCGUAGUCGAUGGGAAACGGGUUAAUAUUCCCGUACUUCUUACAAUUGCGAUGGGGGGACGGAGAAGGCUAGGUGGGCCUGGCGACGGUUGUCCAGGUUCAAGUGCGUAGGCUUGAGGGUUAGGUAAAUCCGGCUCUCUCUAAGGCUGAGACACGACGUCGAGCUACUACGGUAGUGAAGUCAUUGAUGCCAUGCUUCCAGGAAAAGCCUCUAAGCUUCAGAUUGUAAGGAAUCGUACCCCAAACCGACACAGGUGGUCGGGUAGAGAAUACCAAGGCGCUUGAGAGAACUCGGGUGAAGGAACUAGGCAAAAUGGUACCGUAACUUCGGGAGAAGGUACGCUCUUGAUGGUGAAGUCCCUCGCGGAUGGAGCUGAUGAGAGUCGCAGAUACCAGGUGGCUGCAACUGUUUAUUAAAAACACAGCACUGUGCAAAAUCGUAAGAUGACGUAUACGGUGUGACGCCUGCCCGGUGCCGGAAGGUUAAUUGAUGGGGUUAGCGUAAGCGAAGCUCUUGAUCGAAGCCCCGGUAAACGGCGGCCGUAACUAUAACGGUCCUAAGGUAGCGAAAUUCCUUGUCGGGUAAGUUCCGACCUGCACGAAUGGCGUAAUGAUGGCCACGCUGUCUCCACCCGAGACUCAGUGAAAUUGAAAUCGCUGUGAAGAUGCAGUGUACCCGCGGCUAGACGGAAAGACCCCGUGAACCUUUACUACAGCUUGGCACUGAACAUUGAACCUACAUGUGUAGGA